UUGUCUAAUUGAGUCCUUCUCUUCCAGUCAGCCCACAUCCUGACUCUGAGGAACUGGAGGGAGCGGGUGGACUGUCUGUUGAAACAGGAACGUUUUGUUGAGGCUCUGUCCUUGGCCUGGUCCUUCCAUGAGGGCACUGCCAAGGCUGUACUGGGGCUGUUUGGGGACCCAGCAAAGAGGAAAGGUGUAGUGGCAGACAAGAUGAUAGAGAUUCUGUUCCAGUAUGUGGAGCGCUCAGUGAAGAAAUGUCCAGAACACGGCAAGAUACAGGUGAUGGAACAACAUUUCCAGGACAUGGUGCCUGUCAUGGUAGAUUACUGUCUGCAGCUGCAG